GAGAAAAUGAAGAUUUAAGAAAAAUAAGCAGAUAACUAAGACAGAUAAAACAUGUCCUUACAUAUAACAGUCAGGAAUAGCUGCUAACUAGCAACUAAUACAACUAUUUUACCAGAGAAGUGACCUUGAUUGGUAGGAUCUGAGUCAGAGGCAUUGUUUGUUGAGUCUGGUUUCAACUUACGAUGGGUCAGAAAAGACCAUUGUAUGUUGAGGAGGCGCUGUAUUUCUG